UUGCUUCCGUUCUGUUUUCUCUCCGUUGCUGGGGAUGGAACUCAGCCCCGGCCCUUCAGUCGCCAGUCUCCUCAGGCGCGGUGCAAAGCAGGGUGAGCAUCUCAACGCCUGGCAAGAGCCUUGGCACAGGCCUUUUCAAGUCUCCGGUCCCCAGCUGCUCUGCUACACCUGUCCUCGAGGGUCCCUUUUGUCCCGUCUGUGUGAGGUGCCUCCGAGUUGGACACCCAGGAGAGGCCUUGCUGGGUCACGCGUAAGUACUGAAUCCCCAAAUGGCUUUCCAAUGGCCGGAGUGCCAGCAUCCUCCGCCUCAUCCACCUGCCCAGCGGCUGUCGUUCUGAGCUUUGGAAGGAGGUGUCCAUGCUGUGGGGGUUUGCAUUUGAAAUGCCCCCCUAAGAUUCAUGUGCUCCGGGCUUGGUUGCCAGAUGACGGGCUUUGGGAAGGUGACUAAACCACGAGGGCUCGAACGUCAUCAGCAGAUGAACCCACCGAUGGCUCUGUGGAGAGCUUUUCUGCUAUGAGGUGCUGGGAACGCGGGAGAUGGGAACCAGAGGAAGGGAGCAGGUCACGGUGUGUGACCUUGGGGGCUGAAUCUGGCCCCGGGUCACUUUCCUUUCUGGAUUUUCCCGCUCUCUGCAGCAGGCUGCUUUCCAAAUACCGAGGGACCAGCCUGUCCUCCGUGAGAGGCCAUGGGGCCCCCCUUACAGCCCAGGUCCCAGGCCCCCACGAGCCUCAGUUCCGACCCAGUCCAGUCCGUGCCCAUGCUGACAUCGGCACUGCGCCCCGCCGCCGGUCCCCAUAGCUGCUGGAACAGGUGACCCUUCAGAACCGGAAACCGGGCAAGGGCACCCCAGGGAGAGAGCGCAGCACCACACCAGGACCUGCUGAGCCCUCAGCCCUGACCGGAAGUCGCCUCCUCCAAGGGACUGGCCUGCCCCUGGUGUGAGAUGCCCUCAGCCCGUCUUCUACAAGAAACAUGCAUAAUGUGUGACUGCAACCGUACCUGCUUAUGUAUAGUCACCCAUCAGCGAACAGCCUGCAGAAAUAACACCAGGCCCACAGCUGGAGACAGCGCUUACCAAGAGAGACAUUCACUGUCUUAUUUAUACCCCCUCCCUGUGAACCCUAGGCAAAAAGUCCUAUGAUCACCACUUUACAGAUAGGGAAACCGGGGCACAGAGAGGUUAAGCAACUUGCAUAAUACCACACAGCUGGAAAGUAGAUGAGCUUGGAUUUGAACUCCCAAAACCUGGCUCCAAGUGAGUGCUCCUGCCCCAGUGUUCUGCCACCUCUCCGUUCUCACCAGAGUGUGCAGUGAAUGAACAGAAGGAUGAAUAAGUGCAACAAGAUAGGGAAGGCGGGGCAGAUGACUCAGAUGGCGUUAGAAACACACUUGGGUGCGCAUCCUUCUUCCAAGGUAUUAUGCUCCUAAUAAGUUAUUUUUUCCUCUAAGAUGAUGAUUUUCAGAAAUUAUGGAAACUUCUUUGGCUUUUACUGUUUAUGUUAUGGCCUGAGGUGGAGCACGCUGCAUGAUGAAUGACUUUUUCAAUUCCUUCACGUCGGGUUAAAGGAUUCUCUAAGACAAGACCGAGUGUAGAAUCUAUAAUUAAUUAUUAUUCACACUUAAUACAGUUAGAUAAUGUGAACGCAUACUUUCCAUUAAUUUGUAUAGCUGAUUCCUCAUGAUUUUCCCACAGGUAUAGUUCACUGAUUUCUCG
ensembl:lincRNA